rnacentral:rRNA from 1 species
UAACACAUGCAAGUCGAACGAUGAUGCCCAGCUUGCUGGGUGGAUUAGUGGCGAACGGGUGAGUAACACGUGAGUAACCUGCCCCUGACUCUGGGAUAAGCGUUGGAAACGACGUCUAAUACUGGAUAUGAUCACUGGCCGCAUGGUCUGGUGGUGGAAAGAUUUUUUGGUUGGGGAUGGACUCGCGGCCUAUCAGCUUGUUGGUGAGGUAAUGGCUCACCAAGGCGACGACGGGUAGCCGGCCUGAGAGGGUGACCGGCCACACUGGGACUGAAACACGGCCCAGACUCCUACGGGAGGCAGCAGUGGGGAAUAUUGCACAAUGGGCGAAAGCCUGAUGCAGCAACGCCGCGUGAGGGAUGACGGCCUUCGGGUUGUAAACCUCUUUUAGUAGGGAAGAAGCGAAAGUGACGGUACCUCCAGAAAAAGCACCGGCUAACUACGUGCCAGCAGCCGCGGUAAUACGUAGGGUGCAAGCGUUGUCCGGAAUUAUUGGGCGUAAAGAGCUCGUAGGCGGUUUGUCGCGUCUGCUGUGAAAUCCCGAGGCUCAACCUCGGGCUUGCAGUGGGUACGGGCAGACUAGAGUGCGGUAGGGGAGAUUGGAAUUCCUGGUGUAGCGGUGGAAUGCGCAGAUAUCAGGAGGAACACCGAUGGCGAAGGCAGAUCUCUGGGCCGUAACUGACGCUGAGGAGCGAAAGCAUGGGGAGCGAACAGGAUUAGAUACCCUGGUAGUCCAUGCCGUAAACGUUGGGCGCUAGAUGUAGGGACCUUUCCACGGUUUCUGUGUCGUAGCUAACGCAUUAAGCGCCCCGCCUGGGGAGUACGGCCGCAAGGCUAAAACUCAAAGGAAUUGACGGGGGCCCGCACAAGCGGCGGAGCAUGCGGAUUAAUUCGAUGCAACGCGAAGAACCUUACCAAGGCUUGACAUACACCGGAAACGGCCAGAGAUGGUCGCCCCCUUGUGGUCGGUGUACAGGUGGUGCAUGGUUGUCGUCAGCUCGUGUCGUGAGAUGUUGGGUUAAGUCCCGCAACGAGCGCAACCCUCGUUCUAUGUUGCCAGCGGGUUAUGCCGGGGACUCAUAGGAGACUGCCGGGGUCAACUCGGAGGAAGGUGGGGAUGACGUCAAAUCAUCAUGCCCCUUAUGUCUUGGGCCUCACGCAUGCUACAAUGGCCGGUACAAAGGGCUGCGAUACCGUAAGGUGGAGCGAAUCCCAAAAAGCCGGUCUCAGUUCGGAUUGAGGUCUGCAACUCGACCUCAUGAAGUCGGAGUCGCUAGUAAUCGCAGAUCAGCAACGCUGCGGUGAAUACGUUCCCGGGCCUUGUACACACCGCCC